rnacentral:rRNA from 1 species
UACGUAGGGGGCAAGCGUUGUCCGGAAUCAUUGGGCGUAAAGAGCGUGUAGGCGGCCAGAAAAGUCCGCUGUGAAAACUCGAGGCUCAACUUCGAGCUGUCGGUGGAAACUUUCUGGCUAGAGUCCGGAAGAGGAGAAUGGAAUUCCUGGUGUAGCGGUGAAAUGCGCAGAUAUCAGGAGGAACACCGGUGGCGAAGGCGGAUCUCUGGGCCUUGCCUGACGCUGAGGCGCGAAAGCUAGGGGAGCGAACAGG